AUUGAACGCUGGCGGCAGGCCUAACACAUGCAAGUCGAGCGGAUGAAGGGAGCUUGCUCCUGGAUUCAGCGGCGGACGGGUGAGUAAUGCCUAGGAAUCUGCCUGGUAGUGGGGGGUAACGUCCGGAAACGGGCGCUAAUACCGCAUACGUCCUGAGGGAGAAAGUGGGGGAUCUUCGGACCUCACGCUAUCAGAUGAGCCUAGGUCGGAUUAGCUAGUUGGCGGGGUAAAGGCCUACCAAGGCGACGAUCCGUAACUGGUCUGAGAGGAUGAUCAGUCACACUGGAACUGAGACACGGUCCAGACUCCUACGGGAGGCAGCAGUGGGGAAUAUUGGACAAUGGGCGAAAGCCUGAUCCAGCCAUGCCGCGUGUGUGAAGAAGGUCUUCGGAUUGUAAAGCACUUUAAGUUGGGAGGAAGGGCAGUAAGUUAAUACCUUGCUGUUUUGACGUUACCAACAGAAUAAGCACCGGCUAACUUCGUG
rnacentral:rRNA from 1 species